UAGGAACAUAAACAAUGCCUAAAGAAACAUCAAUGAGAAAGAAUGUGCUUCAAUUUAAGAAAAAAAUUUACAAUGACAAAUUAUUGUCAAUUAGAUUUAAAAGAACAUAUACUUGGUGUUUUGGUGAGGCAUCUACAUAUGGCACGACUUUUCAUAGGACAAAGAUCAACAUGAAACAACUUCUUAUUCUUGUAUGCUUAUGUUAUAUCAACCUUAUGCUUUUAUCAAAACAUGAGCUAUAAAUUUAAGGGCGAUCUUGCUGCAAAUUACAUUUCACAAAUCCCAAUAUAUAUUAGAAUCAUAUCCAAUUGUAUCUACAGAUAGAAUUCAACUAUAAAUACCAAUGAAUAUUGUUGUAUCAAAACACCAACCUAUAAUUAAAAAUAAUAAAUAAAUAAAACAUAACAAUUUGAAACAAUGAUUUGUACUUGUAGAAAUUUAGAAGUAUAAUUAAACAAAAUUUUUUUAGUGAAGUCACUAAUCAAACAAUAAAACAGGGAGUAGAAAUUAUAAGUUUAAACGCUUAUCAAAAUAUAAAAUAAAAUGAGGAAGAUGAAACAAAACAAACCAGAUGAUGUUUGAGUGUAAAUCUAUGGCCAUGUUACUACAGUUUAUAUGAGUUUUUAUACUUUUUGACGUUAAAUUGAUCAAUUAAUAAUUUUAUUGCAAAUACAGAAAUCAAUUCAGUGACAAGAAGAGAGCAAUGUUAACAAGAUAUAUGAAAGGUAUUCACAUAAAAAAAAUUUCAAAUCAUUAUUCUAUUCAAAUUUACCCAAAAAAAAAGUAAUAAGAGAAGUAGGCUGAUAGUCAAAAUUAGUUACCUAGAUUAAUACAUCGAAGAUAUGAUCAAUGCAUGUAUAAGAUGAUAAGGAAAUCAAUAAAUAAAACAGUCAUAUUUAAACGAAGAUGGUCAAUCAAUGAAGACUAAUAAAUCGGAAAAACAAUAUUUAGAUUUUUAAAAUUUCGGAGGUGUGAAACAGUACUCAGAGAAACAAAAUCUAUUUUCAAGGUCCACGGAAAUCUAUAUAUACAAACAAAGAGGUGUGAGAAAAUAACAGGUGCGAAAUUUUUAAGCUAUGGGUACAACGAAUAAACACAAUUUUUGGGUAUAAAACUUUGCAAUUUUUUGGAUCAUUAACAAAUAUAAAUAGUUAGAUGAGAUAACGGAAACAAUCUCAUCCGUU
rnacentral:lncRNA from 1 species